GCCCGAGUGGCGGAAUUUGGCAGACGCACGGGACUUAAAAUCCCGGGUCCUCCUUAGGACGUGCCGGUUCAAAUCCGGCCUCGGGCA
rnacentral:tRNA from 1 species